rnacentral:rRNA from 1 species
AUUGAACGCUGGCGGCAGGCCUAACACAUGCAAGUCGAGCGGAUGAAGGGAGCUUGCUCCUGGAUUCAGCGGCGGACGGGUGAGUAAUUCCUAGGAAUCUGCCUGGUAGUGGGGGAUAACGUCCGGAAACGGGCGCUAAUACCGCAUCCGUCCUGAGGGAGAAAGUGGGGGAUCUUCGGACCUCACGCUAUCAGAUGAGCCUAGGUCGGAUUAGCUAGUUGGUGGGGUAAAGGCCUACCAAGGCGACGAUCCGUAACUGGUCUGAGAGGAUGAUCAGUCACACUGGAACUGAGACACGGUCCAGACUCCUACGGGAGGCAGCAGUGGGGAAUAUUGGACAAUGGGCGAAAGCCUGAUCCAGCCAUGCCGCGUGUGUGAAGAAGGUCUUCGGAUUGUAAAGCACUUUAAGUUGGGAGGAAGGGCAGUAAGUUAAUACCUUGCUGUUUUGACGUUACCAACAGAAUAAGCACCGGCUAACUUCGUG